CAGGCCUCUGCCCAGUGGUCAGGGUGGAGACUGGAUAAAGAAUCAGGGAGCCUGAAGCCCCUGUGCUUUCAUCAUUUCCAGCCUCCUGCCCCUGCUUGGGGCCUGGGCACGUUCACAGCUGAACAAGAUGCGGCAGGAAACCCUGAAUCAAGGGGGUGAAGGCAUUAAUGAAGCUGAGCUGACUUCUGGCUCUAAAUUCCUUUCCCUUUGCUUCCAGGCUUGCUGUGGCCUGUUGUCUCUGCCCGGCAGAGUCUGGUGGCUGCUCUCAUUUCACAUCAUAUUGCGAGCUGGAUGAAAGCAAGAACCAAGGCGGCUCAGCACGCAUAAAGAAUGGAAUAACAGCAAACAACAUUGGAGGAGGACUUGUCUGGGAGAGCAGCCAUUUUAAAGAAGAGCACAUUAAGUCACAAACAGUCGCAGCUGAUCUACUUUGCAGCAUCGCCAUACAUGCCUAACUAAAUAUUGAAAUCCCGGGAAAAACUCACUGUGCAUCAUGUUCCAGAAACUAGCUUUGCAAACAGUCUUUUCAGAUGUGUACAUUUUGUGUAUUUGAGGCAUAUAAUAUAUAUAUUUUCCUCCAUGUUCACCCAA
rnacentral:lncRNA from 1 species